CUCACAUUAUGGAGUUGCAUGUAAAAGUCUGCCCACACUCAAGCUUAAGUGAACAUUGUAGAGUGAAAUGUGAUUACAUCAUGGGUAUCAAAGAUACCACGAGUAAGCAUUGUCGUAACUCAUCUAGCUGGACAGCGUCGUAGAUUUAUUUAAUUUAUGUACCUGUUCUCUGUAACGUGUAGAUCUUCUAAACAAGUCCUCAUGCACUAGCUAUGACACACUAUACAGAUAGAUCAGUGAACAGAGAAACAAAUGGCCAAGUAAAUGGUACAUUUAUGUAUCAUUUAUAAAUAAAUUUUAUAAUGUUAAGGUAAUAUUCAUAGUACAGGUAUAACUUGUAUUUUGAUGUUUAAUCUAAUAGUAGGGAUUGUUUUCCACCAUAUUUUCUGCAAUAUUAGGCAAUUAACAAUCACAAUGUAAUUUGUUUGCCCUGUUAUGACUUUUUGUUUAUGGUAGUUAGGGAAAUUAAAAGUAAUUUUUUUCUUAAGAAAAAUUACAGUAACUUAGAAGCAUUUUGAUGAAACAAAAACAAUAUAUUUGAAAAUUCAGGUAGUGCUUGUAUAGAAAAAUAUCCCUUUUGGAUUUAUUUCAUGAAUGGGAGAGGGCACACAAAUAAGCAACACAUUUGUUAAGAUUUAUUUCUUUAAAAAACAUGGUUUUUUUUUUAAGAAAUAAAAGUUAGAACAUCAUUCAAAUACAAAUUACUGGUAUUCAUGCAGUUGUGUCCAUAGUAAUGCCAGAAUAAGGCUAAUCUAGGAAUUUCAUGCGAAGCAUAAUACCUUUUCGGGUGAAAGAAACUCGAAUCUUCAUAUGUAAUACCGUACUUAUGUUUUUGUCUUUUAAAUAUGCAUUGCAUAUGGCACAAUUUACAUUUGGAUAUAGAAUGUAUAUGUAAAAUGUCUCUCUGUGUACCAAAAUACAGUGGUUAUUUUAUUGAUAUUUUUUGCCAGAUGAAUUUUUUUUUUUGGCAAUGCAUCAUGGAUCCACAAAUUGGUUUUUUUUUAAUGUUAUGACUUUGUUGCUGCAAGUGAUACUUGUCAAUUUUUUAAAACUGAUUUUUUUUUUUAAAUAAAUGUCUGAAGAGUUUUG
rnacentral:misc_RNA from 1 species